rnacentral:rRNA from 1 species
UACGGGGGGGGCAAGCGUUGUUCGGAAUCACUGGGCUUAAAGGGCGCGUAGGCGGGCUGUCAAGUCUGGGGUGAAAUCCCACGGCUCAACCGUGGAACUGCCUCAGAUACUGACGGCCUCGAGGGAGAUAGGGGCGAGCGGAACUGUGAGUGGAGCGGUGAAAUGCGUUGAUAUUCACAGGAACUCCGGUGGCGAAGGCGGCUCGCUGGAUCUCUUCUGACGCUGAGGCGCGAAAGCCAGGGGAGCAAACGGG